rnacentral:piRNA from 1 species
UGGCCUUUGGUUUUCUCACUUGGACAC